rnacentral:rRNA from 1 species
UACAGAGGUGGCAAGCGUUGUUCGGAAUUACUGGGCGUAAAGGGCGCGUAGGCGGUUCGUUAAGUCCUGUGUGAAAUCCCCCGGCUCAACUGGGGAACUGCACAGGAAGCUAGCGGGCUUGAGUUCGGGAGAGGGAAGCGGAAUUCCGGGUGUAGCGGUGAAAUGCGUAGAUAUGCGGAGGAACACCGGUGGCGAAGGCGGCCAUCUGGACGACGACUGACGCUGAGACGCGAAAGCGUGGGGAGCAAACAGG